UAGGGAAUCUUCGGCAAUGGACGGAAGUCUGACCGAGCAACGCCGCGUGAGUGAAGAAGGUUUUCGGAUCGUAAAGCUCUGUUGUAAGAGAAGAACGAGUGUGAGAGUGGAAAGUUCACACUGUGACGGUAUCUUACCAGAAAGGGACGGCUAACUACGUG
rnacentral:rRNA from 2 species